rnacentral:tRNA from 1 species
GGUUCGGUGGUGUAGUGGUUAUCACGUCUGUCUCACAUCAAGAAGCUUUUCAAAGUGCACAGGAGGUCCCCGGUUCGAAACCGGGUCGAAUCA